UGGGGAGGGCCCACCACUACACCCACUCCUCGGUGCUGUUCCCCCAAUCCCUUCUCCCCCGCACAUCUCGCUCGGCCGCCGUGGGUUGCAUCGCCGCCGCAGAAAUUGGAGCGCCAGCCGGCUGCCGCACAGGUCGCGGGUGGUGGUUGAGCGCGCGCGCGGGGCGGAGGCGCGAGAGGCUGCGGUGGUGCGCGCGGGGACUGCAGAAGAGAGGCGGAGCGGGUGAAGGUCGCCGCGGUGCUCUGUCUCCAAUCCGCCAAGGGGUGCGGGGUGAAGGUCGCCGGCGACGCUGCGUUUCCGGUGAGGGGACUCGCCACGGAAUUUCUGAGCAUCAACAAUGUCUGAGACAAGCAAAAAAAAGUGACGGUCAGGUCGCACAAGCAACCCAACAGGGUGUAGAUGAAAUAGAGCGCAGGUACGCCCACCACAGCAACAAAACACGCCGGUAAUUGUCUACAAGUGUAUGCGCACUAAAGAGAUCAUCUAUCGUGGGAAGCGCCCAUCAGACAUAGAUAGUAAUACCAGUGCACCAGAUGCUGAUUUAGAAGGCAAGGAUAUCAUGCAAGAGGAGGAAUCGAAGCCAAAACGGCGGAGGACAGGCGAAAACGAGUAGAAACUAAUGGAUGGAUCAAGCAAAAAGGGCAUUCAAGAAGAUCAUCAUGCAGUUAAUCGUGAUGCUGAUCCCUCGCAUGCGAUUGAAUAUCAUCAAGAGGGCUAGAGACGCACACCCUUUAUUGGGUACCAGCAUCGGGGAAGAAAGGAGAUUGCUUCCCGUGGCAAACGUCCGCUAGACAUCAACAACAAUCCGAGUGUUUCCACAGAUGGUGAUGGAAAUGUUGAGAAAGACACUGCUGUGGAACAACCACCAAAAGCAAAACGUCAAAAGACCGGAUCUAACGAGGAUAAGAGAAACAGGGCAUCGCCUGCAAGGCUUUUCAAGCUGAAUAAACUUCUUGUACCUGUUUAACAAGGCCAAGCUCAAGUCACUUUCAGUCAAUUUCUGACACCAGCCUUAUACAUAUCAUGCGGAAAGAGAAAGGGAGGCUUGUGUUCUUCAGUAACCCAGGGGACAGGGAUGAAAGGGAGGCUUGUGUUCUUCAGUAACCCAGGGGACAGGGAUGAAAGAAGCACACAACCAUGGGGGAAAGUGAAAGCUAAAUCUGACCUUUUUCUGUGCUUCUUCUACCCUUAGUCAAUAUGAAUUGCCUGGAGAACAAAUCCUAAACCAGCCACCAUUGGAGGAUUAUGGAGAGUUUUCUGGAUCUGGGAGUUGUCCCUUUGUGGCUUGGGAGAGAGAAGAAGAUGGGGCUGGGCGAUUUGAUGGGGAGAAAAGGAGACGCCCAGGGGGGUGGAGGAGGGAAACACGUGGGGGAGAGAGGAUCAGGUGAGUUCCGCGGCUCGAUGGUUGGGUGGAAGGAAUCGGGAGCGGGGGCCAGGUACUUUCCUAUUCUGGAUAGGAGGGACAGAAAAUUACUAUUUUGGGAGGGCUGCCAGGGAACGCUAGGGAGCAGCCUCCCUAGACGCGUCCAUAUAUGUAUGUACAUAUGUGUCCAAUUCUGCACAAAUGAAGAAAAGCAAUACAACAGAAAAUAUCUCAAGAUGGCAAUGAUAGCUUACUGAACUUCUUUUGCAUUCAUGUGCAACAUGCCUAUGACUGCAGAGACAAAACAUCUUUAGAAGCAGGAAUUCAAUGAGUUGGAACUCCACAUACCUAUGAUUGUAUUUCUGACAUAUCAAUAUGCUUGAGACACAUUUUUAGAAAUAGGAAUUCAGUGUGUUGAAACUCUGAA